AGAGGGUUAGCCAAGUUGGUAAGGCAAUGGACUUUGAUUCCAUCAUGCAGUGGUUCGAUCCCACUACCCUCCGCCA
rnacentral:tRNA from 1 species